UACGGAGGGUGCCAGCGUUAUCCGGAAUCACUGGGUUUAAAGGGUACGUAGGCGGUUAUAUAAGUCAGACGUUAAAGGCUGUGGCUAAACCAUGGUACGCGUUUGAAACUGUAUAACUUGAAUAUAUUCGAGGUGCACGGAAUGCGUCAUGUAGCGGUGAAAUGCAUAGAUAUGACGUAGAACACCGAAUGCGAAGGCAGUGCACUAGGGUAUUAUUGACGCUGAUGUACGAAAGCGUGGGUAGCGAACAGG
rnacentral:rRNA from 1 species